UGGGGAAUAUUGGACAAUGGGCGAAAGCCUGAUCCAGCCAUGCCGCGUGUGUGAAGAAGGUCUUCGGAUUGUAAAGCACUUUAAGUUGGGAGGAAGGGCAGUAAGCGAAUACCUUGCUGUUUUGACGUUACCGACAGAAUAAGCACCGGCUAACUCUGUGCCAGCAGCCGCGGUAAUACAGAGGGUGCAAGCGUUAAUCGGAAUUACUGGGCGUAAAGCGCGCGUAGGUGGUUCGUUAAGUUGAAUGUGAAAGCCCCGGGCUCAACCUAGGAGCUGCAUCCAAAACUGGCGAGCUAGAGUAGGGCAGAGGGUGGUGGAAUUUCCUGUGUAGCGGUGAAUUGCGUAGAUAUAGGAAGGAACACCAAUGGCGAAGGCGAACACCUGGGGUUAUAAUGACACUGUGGUGCGAAAGCGUGGGGAGCAAACAGG
rnacentral:rRNA from 1 species